rnacentral:misc_RNA from 1 species
CGCACAUUGCGCCCAUUAGUAUUCUAGUGGGCAUGCCUGUUCGAGCGUCAUUUCAACCCUUAAGCCUCUGUUGCUUAGUGUUGGGAGCCUACUGUUAUUGUAGCUCCUCAAAUGUAGUGGCGGAGUCGGUUCACACUCUAGACGUAGUAUAUUUUAUCUCGCUUGUGAGUUGGGCCGGUCCCUUGCCGUUAAACCCCUAUUUUUAAAGGUUGACCUCGGAUCAGGUAGGACUACCCGCUGAACUUAA